rnacentral:ncRNA from 1 species
AUAAGAACGAUGACAGGGAAAAGUAGACAGAUUUUAUUCAUUCAGAGAGUGGAGGUUGGUGCGAAUCCAUAGGAUGAAUUUGUUGAAAAUCUUCAUCCUCGAGUUGCAGGCUGAAAUAAUAGUAAGCCCCGCCGGCAGAGCCGUUAAAAAAAAUGAGAAAAAAAUUGGGUGGUACCGCGAAAGACUUUUUGCCCCAGUG